rnacentral:misc_RNA from 1 species
GUUCGACGCGUAGUUUCUACUCAUCAGUCCGCACGACAAAACUGUUCCGUUCAGUGUCGAUUUGUACCCUUGAUGUAAGUUUCCUUUCAACUGCAAACUGCAAUCCAUCCCCCCACUCGUUUUACAGCUGAUGCGAUAACUGUGUUACGGAUCUAAUGCUGCGAAACGAUUUGUUUGGUGUUCCCCAGAUAACGUACAAAAUUUACUUAGUUCGUCUGGUGUGCUCUCCGCGUAUUGAGUCGUGCGGUACCGUCUGGAAUCGUGCGUACAAAGCGAAUAUCGCAGGCAGUACGCUUAUAGAUCCACAUAUUCUCACAUCUUACUGACUGGAAAGAGUGAAAUAAAAAAUUCAGAAGAGGAGGGAGCAAGAUAGAACGAGUUAGUGAUAGCGAGAGAGAGAGAGAGAUAAAAAGAGAGAAUCGAGGAAGGAAGAAAAGAGAAAUAAACCAGCACUGGAUUGGAGAACGAAAAAAAAACAACAAAUAAUAAUAAUAAAUAAAUUAAGUAAAUAAAAACAUCGGCAAAAGUCGAAAUUCAUUCCGGUGAAGUCGAAUAAUCGAAAGUUUGACGUGUACACAUAACCAGUUGCGACGAAGUGGGUGGUUCGUUUUUUAUCAGAGGAGUGUACGCGGGGAUGGUAUACCUGGCGGGUACUUGGGGCAUGGGAGAGACUGAACCACAGUGCCAUAGCACCACCACUUCCCCAGUAACAGCAUCAUUCCUCCAAGAUCACGAUGAAGAAGUCGCUCUCCAUCCCCUCAAUAAUCAGGUCGGCGGUCAUACCAGACUGUUGCUGCUUAACCAGAAUACCAUCUGCAAGCCAUUGAACUAUCGAGAGCUCGAGUUCUAUCAAAACAUUCCACAAGAUAUACAAAUGUUUGUCCCCAAAUUCAAAGGUGUAAUGCAGGCUUCCAGUAGCAGCGAGGUUUCACUAGACAAACGUUACAGUCCAAGCUUCAGAGAUCAAGCAGAAACGACCAAUACUCGCCAGGGAAAAGGUUCGACAAAACGAAAGCGUGACGAUGUUCUCAGGAUGAAAAUUCACCGCAACAAUUGCACAGUUGACGUCUUGAAGCCUGAAACUCACUUGGAAAGCACACCGAAUACACAACAUUUUCUAAUGCUGGAGAAUAUAACAUCUCGAUACACGCAUCCAUGUAUAUUGGAUUUGAAAAUGGGGACCAGACAGUACAGUGAUGAUGCGUCAGCUGAGAAACGUAGCAAGCAAAUUGCCAAGUGUGCUGCCAGUACCUCUGCUUCUUUAGGAGUUCGUCUGUGCGGAAUGCAGGUCUACCAAGCAGAUUCAGAUCAUUAUGUUAAAAGAGACAAAUAUUGGGGCAGAGAACUCAAUGAAGAAGGUUUCAAAGCAGCUCUAUACCGCUUCUUCCACAAUGGUUUUGGUUUACGAACAUUGGCCAUUCAAAGAGUGAUAGCACGUCUGGAACUUUUACGUCGCGCAAUCGAAAGACAAAGCAGCUACAGAUUUUAUUCCUGCUCACUUCUUGUCGUCUACGAGGGGUAUCAAAUAGAUGGCUUUUCAGUGUUAAGACACACCCCGACACUUCGAGUUGAAGAAGAAUCGACAGACUUAAAUUUCAUGGAAAAUAUUGCUCAUGGUUCUGAAACAUGUUAUGACGCAGACACAAGUAACAAUUCAAACGAUUACAAUCUUAGCAGUCAUGAAGAAGUUAGCCAAGCCACACUCCACAGGGGUUUUGGAGAGGCAGCUGCACGAGGGGCCAAAAAUGCUAGUGGCUUUUAUCCAAUUAAUGAGGAAACUGUGUUCAUGGAUUCACCAACAAACAUGGUCAGCACUGUUGUUCAGAGCUCGCAAUUUGACAAUUGGAUGAUGUACAGCAGCAGUAGUGGGGAUGAAUUUUGUUGCGGGCAACACACAGCUGAUAGUUCUGAAGACACUAGUUCGGAUCUAGAAAUGGAAAGUACAGGAUGUGUUUUAAAGCGUAACAGACCCAGGCAACAUUUGCGAUUAUACGAAAACACUAAGCAUGUCGAAACAGAAGAUGAAUGUUCGAGUAUUUCUAAAAGAUUACGUGUUAAAACUGACGAGGAAAAACAGUCAGAAAGUGAAGAUUCCCUCGUCGACGUAAGAAUGAUCGACUUUGCCAAUAUGUCGUUUAACCACUCUGGAAGUUCUGUGGGGAGUUCAAAUUCAAAUUCUACGAUUCAUCAGGGUCCAGAUUGUGGCUUUUUGACUGGCCUAGAUAGCCUGAAACGGCUAUUAUUAGAGAUACUAACUGAAGGUUAAAAUUUGUGUAAUGUUAGAUAAGCAGACAAUUUAAAUAGCGAAACAACAUUUUAACCCAAAAUGACAAAUAACUAGACACUUACGUGGUGAAAAUGAUUUAUGCAUUAUACAACUCGAACACGUUAUUUAUAUAUAUAUAUAUAUGUAUGCUUUUAAAUCAAAUAACAGAAGUGAAUGGCGUUAUAUGGAGAGACAGCGAUAAGAGAAAUAAACUCGGAGCGGAAUGUACAAAUCUCGAGUUCAUCUCAAAUUUCUCGUUAAUAACAAGUGUAUAGAAUUCAAGGGGUGGGCGCUCGGUAACCAAAACGGUCAAUAUAACAAACAUUAAAUAUGUACAUAAAUUCAUUACAAUAUAUUUCUAAGUCUCGAUCAAAUACCCGGUGAAACUUGAGACAUUCGUUAGGAACAGUGUUAUGAACACUGAUGAUCAUCGUAUUGAUCAUAAAACAAAAAUAUAUAGUAUUUUACCCCUGUAUGAGCAUACUGUCCAAUUUAAUGGAGUGCUUUGUUCCCAAGGGAUACAGUGGUUACUAAAGUAAUAAAAUAUGAUUUUUAAUUAUAUAACAUUAAUAUUAGAAGAAUAUAAGUUAUAAUCGUGUAAAUAAUGUAAAAAUAAUAUUGCAUUGAAAGAAGUACAUAGUAUAUAUGUUACACCUUGUAUUUUAGUUGCACCCCAAAAGUAUCCACCAUCUCGGUCAAUGUAUUACAAUUAAUAAAGCUCCAUCUAAUUUUCUAGAAUUUUCUAAAUUCUUAUACCUUUCUAGGGAGCGCGGCCGAAAAGGGGUGAGUGUUUCUCUACAAAGAGAAAUCGAUUUCUCAUUAGAGAAGGCAAUGAUUCCGUAUCAUAUAACAAGUAUUAUCAAUACGCGUAUUUAAAUGUGUGCGAACUUAUCCUUACUUACCGAUUCGUGCAGGAGUUUCAUACUGACGGAUGAUAACUUAUUGAACUGAUAGCCGCAUAAUUACAUAUAACACAGUUGCUCUAUCAACCAACUCUUCACAUAUGAGUGGAUAUUUAUGAUCUACGCAGUAACUUCUACUAAGAGACAAUAACCGUCAUCAUCAAUUGAAAAUGCGCACCUAACAUAUUAUCAGGUAAACACCAUCAUAAUUAUCCGCUCAUCUAACAUUUUGCUGUGAGUCAUAAUUCAUAUUUACCGUUGGUUAUGAUUCGGUUUUUUUACAUUGAAAAUAAUGGAAUCACUUUUAAAGACUGACAAUUCUAUUGCUAACGUCUAAAAAAAAUAAACUAGUGGGUUUUGGAUUAAAAUAGUUGAAAAUAAGUCAACACUUAAUAAAUAAUGAACAUCUGUUAUAUAUUUUGAAAUCUGAUACAGUGUAUAAAUUAUUAUUUUUGAUUACGCAUACUGAAAAUAGAACUCGAGUGUUAUGUGGUAAUCAAAAUAAUUAACAAUCGAGCCGGUAAUUUGUAAUUCCACAAAACAAUCGUUUGGCUUUCUCUUACAAUCCCUGAAAUGCCAAUCGUCAUUAUAUCUCUUUUCUAUGUCAAGUGCCCAGUACCAAACAUAGUAGUACGUAAAAUUCAACCUUGCAAUAUUAUACAUAAUCUCACGUAUAAUAAAAUACUUUAUUUUAUU